CCUACGGGGGGCUGCAGUGGGGAAUAUUGGACAAUGGGCGAAAGCCUGAUCCAGCCAUGCCGCGUGUGUGAAGAAGGCCUUCGGGUUGUAAAGCACUUUCAGUGGGGAAGAAAGCCUUGGGGCUAAUACCCUCGAGGAAGGACAUCACCCACAGAAGAAGCACCGGCUAACUCCGUGCCAGCAGCCGCGGUAAUACGGAGGGUGCGAGCGUUAAUCGGAAUUACUGGGCGUAAAGCGCGCGUAGGCGGUCUGAUAAGCCGGUUGUGAAAGCCCCGGGCUCAACCUGGGAACGGCAUCCGGACCUGUCAGGCUAGAGUGCAGGAGAGGAAGGUAGAAUUCCCGGUGUAGCGGUGAAAUGCGUAGAGAUCGGGAGGAAUACCAGUGGCGAAGGCGGCCUUCUGGACUGACACUGACGCUGAGGUGCGAAAGCGUGGGUAGCAAACAGGAUUAGAUACCCUAGUAGUC
rnacentral:rRNA from 1 species